rnacentral:lncRNA from 1 species
UGGCAACAGUCUUCUCUGCCGUUUCAGGCUAGUACUUCCUUUCCUCUUCCCGGAAUUCCAUUCUUUUCAGUUCAUGGCAUCAGGUGGGCAGUGUGGAAAUCCCUUCAUUUGUUAAAGCUUGAGAAAACAUUGUCUUAAAGCCUUACUGGAAAACUCCUUCGGUCAUCUUCGGCUGUUUUCAGGUACGGCUUUAUGUUUGGAAGAGAAUCUGCUCGCAAAGAGCUCGGAAGCUUAAUCGAAGACCUUCGCCGCCAGAAUCCCAAUUCCUGACUUCAUUGGGUACUUCCAUUCUCUCACUCACUACCCACACUGGCUUAGAUUGACAACUAUUCUCAAGAGUCAUCUGAACAUCCCCUAAACUAGAUGAAAACCUGGUUUGAAUGAACAUCAACUGACCAUUCAGGUAAUGGAGACAUAUACAGGGAAUUGUUUAACCAUCUUAGGCCUCAGCAUCUGAUGCCAAAUAUUAACUAUAGACUUGGAUACUCUGUUUGUACAUAAAGAUGCACUUAUAAAUUU